UACGGAGGGUGCGAGCGUUGAUCGGAAUUACUGGGCGUAAAGCGCGUGCAGGCGGCUUUUUAAGCCUGAUGUGAAAGCCCGGGGCUCAACCCGGGAAGAGCAUUGGAAACUGGGAGACUUGAAUCUGGGAGAGGGGAGUGGAAUUCCUGGUGUAGGGGUGAAAUGCGUAGAGAUCAGGAGGAACACCGGUGGCGAAGGCGGCUGCCUGGACCGAUAUUGACGCUGAGACGCGAAAGCGUGGGGAGCAAACAGG
rnacentral:rRNA from 1 species